CAGUCGCCACGGUAAUACGAAGGGGGCUAGCGUUGCUCGGAAUGACUGGGCGUAAAGGGCGCGUAGGCGGCGAUCAAAGUCAGGCGUGAAAUUCCUGGGCUCAACCUGGGGGCUGCGCUUGAUACUUGGUUGCUUGAGUGGGGAAGAGGGUCGUGGAAUUCCCAGUGUAGAGGUGAAAUUCGUAGAUAUUGGGAAGAACACCGGUGGCGAAGGCGGCGACCUGGUCCUUGACUGACGCUGAGGCGCGAAAGCGUGGGGAGCAAACAGGAUUAGAUACCCCCGUAGGUCCUGUCUCUUAUAC
rnacentral:rRNA from 1 species